CUGAAGAAUGUUGCCCAAUCUGCCUAAGUAGCUCUGUUGCAGUCCUUUGGUCACUGAUUGCCACAGCUUGUGCACACUGUGUUAGCAGAGUUGGCAAAUCCACCACUUCUCCUUUGUUUCCCUGUCUCCUUCCUCGCGUCGUUCUGCCAUUAGAUCCUUUACCCUGCCCAUUCCGGCUUGCUCCAUUCUGUGACUUUUCAUGAAGAGCACGUGCUUCAGACUU
rnacentral:misc_RNA from 1 species